UCAGAGGACAUGUUUUAAUUGCGGAAA
rnacentral:piRNA from 2 species